rnacentral:lncRNA from 1 species
CAAACUGAAAAAGAUAAGCAGCAGUGGGUAAUCUCAUAUUUCUAUCCUGCAUCUGUAUUCGACUUCCACAAGAAGUGGAAGAAGUCUCUCAAGAAAUCAAUUCACUUUACAUCAUACAGUUCUCUUGAAACUCAACUCCUCAAACUGAGUUCUUUGAAAUAGUUCAGUGGCAUAAAUGUUGAAUGUUUAAGUUCUGUUUUAAUUCAUAGCUGCUAUUAUAGUGCAAACUGGAUUUAUUAACAGACUAAUAUUUCUUGUGCAGCUUCUGCCUUUCUUCCAAGAACUGAUUAUGUGCAUAUGUGCAAGACUUUCUUAGAAAACCCUUAGAUAAGGGUUUAAAGGAAUCUCCUGUUCUUUUCAGGAAACAAAAGUGUCAUUUUAGCUUUGUUAGCACAGUCUCACCAGAUAAAGAAGAAAUCAUUAUCUUCACAACCAUCCCAAGAGAAACCCAUUUCUCACAGGAUUCGGCAUGCAAAGCCUCCAGCUUUGACCAAGGCACUCAUCAUCAGUAAAAGGGAUGAGGAGCUGGAGCCGGAUUUUCAGAGGGAAGGAGCUGCUUUCCCCUCUGAGCUGUGGAGACUUCCCCAGCUUCCAUGGCAGGGCAAUUACAGAGGCAAAGGAUGGAUGCACAAGUGCAGGCUCUGAGAAACGUCAUUUGAAGUGAAACCUCGGUAAUAAGAGUCGUAGAGUUUGUACUCCAUGGAUAACUUGAUUAUUUUGCUCGUGAGACUCUUUGAAAAAACAUCACCCAGAAGUGAUUUUUAUGAGAAAUUUUAUGAUGCUAACUUUGUGAUGUUGGAGUGAAAAUAGCUUUGCUAUGUUGACUUACAGUGAUGCAGUCUUUCUGGAAGCAUGACACUUUAGGAAGACUUGAAAUUGUCUGAGGCUUAUUGGUGUUACUUCAAUUGCAUUUGGAAUUCAUUUAAUAUUCUUGAGGGGAUCAUGGAGUGAGAGAAAUGAGGUCCUAAAAGGUUUUUUUACCACAAUCUGUUGGACUAGAAACCCAUUUCACAUUUUCAAAGAAAUGUUUAUUCUCCCACUGGCCUUUGAAUUGGGUACUAUUGAAUUGGCUUUAUGGAAAACAUUAAAUUAAAUGUUUAGGAAUUGUUUUGAAAUCUGAUUCAACAACAGCGGCAUUAUCAUGAGAUUAGGAAAUAGUUUAGCUGUGUUUUAUAAGUGUUUGCAACCACUGACACAAAUAUUCAUGCACUCCAUCUGAAGAAGAACAGAGAAAGAGACAUGAAUAAAAUACAGUGACAGAAACA